CACUGAUAAUGCCACCAUCGAUUCCUACCUCAGAUCUGGCACUAAUGGCCUGCAGUGCAAAGAAACAUUGGCAGAUUCAUGGGGGAUGACAUGGAUUUGAUGGAGGACAUGCCAGAAUUCGUGGGUAUAUGAAGAUCUGUGUAUGAUUCACAUUGAAGGCUUACCAUCAAACAAAGAACCUUUGUCAAGCUCUAAACUACCAGGAUGUGUGUUGUGUGUUAUAUACUGCAGUGCCAGAAGACAUGAAGACAGCUGUGACACAGAGCCAUAGGUAGCACAUGAUUCAUGGCUACCAGGAUGACACUGAAGCAGAAGUCCACAGUGAAGUGUUGCAGUCUUUGCAGUAUUUCCCAGGAAGAUGGAAUUGUGAUUUCAGCUGAACCAACACUUCUUCCCUGUAUUUGGGAUAGGAUAGGCUACCAUGUGUCUCCAUCACCAGCCCCAGGCCAGACCUUGAUGAAACAUCAUAUGAGUGAUUAGAAUUAAGCCAAG